rnacentral:rRNA from 1 species
CCGGUACGUGACCUGCGGAGGGUCAUUACACAAAUAUGAAGGCGGGCUGGAACCUCUCGGGGUUACAGCCUUGCUGAAUUAUUCACCCUUGUCUUUUGCGUACUUCUUGUUUCCUUGGUGGGUUCGCCCACCACUAGGACAAACAUAAACCUUUUGUAAUUGCAAUCAGCGUCAGUAACAAAUUAAUAAUUACAACUUUCAACAACGGAUCUCUUGGUUCUGGCAUCGAUGAAGAACGCAGCGAAAUGCGAUAAGUAGUGUGAAUUGCAGAAUUCAGUGAAUCAUCGAAUCUUUGAACGCACAUUGCGCCCUUUGGUAUUCCAAAGGGCAUGCCUGUUCGAGCGUCAUUUGUACCCUCAAGCUUUGCUUGGUGUUGGGCGUCUUGUCUCUAGCUUUGCUGGAGACUCGCCUUAAAGUAAUUGGCAGCCGGCCUACUGGUUUCGGAGCGCAGCACAAGUCGCACUCUCUAUCAGCAAAGGUCUAGCAUCCAUUAAGCCUUUUUUUCAACUUUUGACCUCGGAUCAGGUAGGGAUACCCGCUGAACUUAA